rnacentral:lncRNA from 1 species
GAAAAGCACUCUAAGGGGAAGGAAGGGUGUUAGGAAAAAAAGACCUUCGAUGAUGCAGGUGUCUGUGUAUAAGGAACUAUGACCUACCAAAAAACCACCACAUAAGGAGAGGCCAAUAUAAUUUGCCAGUCUGACAAGAUAGUUGGUAUUAUAAGUGGAAGAGACCUCAAGGAUCACAUAAUUCAGCUCUUUGAUUUUAGACGGAGGAAAGACGAGGCCCAGAGAUGGGAAGUGGCUUGCCUAAGUACAUUAGCAAGUUAGCUUCAAUGGUUAUUUUUAUACACACACAGGCACACAUACAUACUGUUGCACUGACUUCUGUUUUGUACAUAAAAUGCUACUGGCUCAUACAAUACAUCAAUAAAUAUGCAACUUUUCAUUUGUUAUUUCAUUGCUGGAAGUGGGAAAUACCCCAUCUUCCCAGGAGUGAAAUGGUUCUACUUUCUCUCCGUGGUGCCCUGUAUCAUUACUCAGCUCUACUGCUGCUCUCCGCAGCCCCUAAAAGUAGCAUGGAUCGGGGAAGAAGGAAGGACGGCAGGAAGGCA